rnacentral:rRNA from 1 species
UAGUCCACGCCGUAAACGAUCAUCACUCGCUGUUGGCGAUAUACUGUCAGCGGCCAAGCGAAAGUAUUAAGUGAUGCACCUGGGGAGUACGCCGGCAACGGUGAAACUCAAAGGAAUUGACGGGGGCCCGCACAAGCGGUGGAGCAUGUGGUUUAAUUCGAUGAUACGCGAGGAACCUUACCAGGGCUUAAAUGGAAAAUGACAGGGGCAGAGACGCCCCCUUCUUCGGACAUUUUUCAAGGUGCUGCAUGGUUGUCGUCAGCUCGUGCCGUGAGGUGUCAGGUUAAGUCCUAUAACGAGCGCAACCCCUACCGUUAGUUGCCAGCGUGUAAUGACGGGGACUCUAACGGAACUGCCGGUGCAAACCGUGAGGAAGGUGGGGACGACGUCAAAUCAUCACGGCCCUUACGUCCUGGGGCCACACACGUGCUACAAUGGUAGGUACAGAGGGGAAGCCACCCCGCGAGGGGGAGCGGGAUCUAUAAAACCUAUACUCAGUUCGGGAUCGGGAGUCUGCAACUCGACUCCGUGAA